ACUUAAAUGGCUUAUAGUUUAGAGCGCAACAUUGAAGAUGUUGAUGAGGUGUAUACCACCUUUAAGUG
rnacentral:tRNA from 1 species